AUUGAACGCUAGCGGCGUGCUUUACACAUGCAAGUCGAGCGGCAGCAUGACCUUCGGGUUGAUGGCGAGCGGCGAACGGGUGAGUAAUACAUCGGAACAUAUCCUAUAGUGGGGGAUAACUCAUCGAAAGAUGAGCUAAUACCGCAUGAGCUCUGAGGAGGAAAGGCGGGGAUCGCAAGACCCGUCGCUGUAGGGCUGGCCGGUGGCUGAUUAGUUAGUUGGUGGGGUAAUGGCUUACCAAGACGAUGAUCAGUAGUUGUUCUGAGAGGAAGAUCAGCCACACUGGGACUGAGACACGGCCCAGACUCAUACGGGAGGCAGCAGUGGGGAAUUUUGGACAAUGGGGGAAACCCUGAUCCAGCAACGCCGCGUGAAUGAAGAAGGCCUUAGGGUUGUAAAGUUCUUUUGUCUGGGAGCAAGUUAAUUGGGCUAAUACCUUGAUUAAUUGAGAGUACCAGAAGAAUAAGCACCGGCUAACUACGUGCCAGCCGCCGCUGUAAUAC
rnacentral:rRNA from 1 species